AUUCCAGCUCCAAUAGCGUAUAUUAAAGUUGUUGCAGUUAAAAAGCUCGUAGUUGAACUUCUUGGCAUCCUUUAAGCUGGCUUCGGUCGUUUCAAGGGUGUCAAUCCGCUAGGGAACUACAUUCGCACUUCACUGUGCGGUGUAAGGAACUGGCAUUUUACUUAGAAAAAAUUAGAGUGUUCAAGGCAGGCUAUCGCCCUGAAUACACAAGCUUGGAAUAAUGAAAUAGGACUAUUUCCAUUUUAUUGGUUAUUGGAUUUAGUAAUGAUUAAUAGGGAUAGUUGGGGGUGCUAGUAUUUUGCGGCCAGAGGUGAAAUUCUGUGAUUCGCGAAAGACUAACUUAUGCGAAAGCAUUCACCAAGGAUGUCUUCAUCA
rnacentral:rRNA from 1 species